UUAAGUAAACAACAAUAGCCUAAGUUUAGUAAACAUUUUUUAUUGAAACUAUAAAAAAUAAUUCUGCAUCUAUAUUUAGGUGUGCCAGCUGCCACUGUGGGUGGCUAAGGCACACCUGUGUUUACGCCACUGGAGCAUAUGUUAAGGUUUAUUUUUGUACACUAUCUAUUACACUAUUAGCCUAAAAAAACUGAAAUCAUACAGCUGUUGCAUUGAGUACCUUUUUCAACUUUUUGCAGAAUGAAAAAAAAACAUGCUUGCCCGUUUUUAUUUUAGUGUAAUUCCAUAGAUUAAAAAAAAAAAAAAUUGUUUACAUGCAUCUUAAUGAUCCCUAAUGGUGAAUGUGAGGUGGGGGCGGCACGUUCGUGCUCUGCCUAGAGCGACAUUUGAGCUUACGCUGGCCCUGCAUAUAGGCUACAUUUCAUCAUAUACAGUGAGAGAGGAAAAAAGAGUUUUGUUAUGUUCAGCUGCAAGGUUCCUCAAUAAUGCAGGUACGUACAGCUGUUUCAAGAGAGGUCUAUUGUCUGUCUCUGUAUGAAGGUCUUUUUUGUGUUUGAACAGGUUUUGACAACAGCAUAAUUGGCAUUGCUCGAGGAUCGGGUGAAAGCACGUCUGCAAACAGCAGCAGUGAGGAACACCCGAGGCAUCAUUCGCAAAUAGCUUGACGCACUAGAAGCCUUCAGGAAGGGGAAAUCAAUGAAAGCUGCAUUUGAUGCUAUUGGAGUGGACAGAAAUACAAUUGCAAGAACUGCAAUUAUUGCAGAAUUGCAUCUUGCUGCCCCUGAUGUUUUGAAGUCCAUGGGCCAGUGGAACGAUAAAACAGAGACAUUGAGCACAUUUAUUGGUAGAUGUCGUUCUGCACUGACCACUGAAAUUAAAGAAAUAAAAUACUCAAAUGAAA